rnacentral:lncRNA from 1 species
UUUUCCUAGAGAGAGAGGGAGGUAGAGAGAGAAAGAGGUGAAGAGAAGAACAAGAGUGUUGAAGGGAAAGCUUGGGGAAUCAAUUUGGGUGACCUAGGAGCUGAAUUGAAGCAAGGGUUAGAGAUAAUCAACUUCAAAGGUAAGGGGGUUAGUUAUCAUCAUAAUCAUGUACAAUCUUUGCAUUUUCUCAUGUUGUAUGAAAAUGUGUUGGUGAACAAUUGUUGUUAAAUUCGUGCUCUUGCUGUGAUGCUAUUUUCUUGUGCUUGAAUUGAUGAUUAUGGUAUGUUUAUAGGUGAAAUUACAUGUUUCAAAGUAUGUAUAAAUGUUAAGUUAUGAAAUUAUGCUUAAUUGAUGAAAUUUGAUAUGUUUUGAUUGAAAAGAGAUGUGAUUCAUAUUCCAUUAAUGUGGUUAUUGUUAACUGAUGCUAUUGUAAGUGAAUUAUGAUUUGGGUAUACUUAAUUGUGGAUUGAUGAUGAGAAAUAAAUUGUUGUUGGUGGUUUUGUGAAAUUGGUGAAGUUGAGUUAAGUGUUCAUGNGGUACCGAGACCUNGAANUUGGUAUUCACUUNNNNNNNNNNNNNNNNNNNNNNNNNNNNNNNNNNNNNNNNNNNNNNNNNNNNNNNNNNNNNNNNNNNNNNNNNNNNNNNNNNNNNNNNNNNNNNNNNNNNUGGGCCAGAAGGAUCGCUUCAGGAAGCAUAAGUUCAGAAAGCAUGCCAGAAGCUUCUCAAGGAAGCGAAAUUGCCAGUUCCAGCAUCCCCUGUUUCGCGUUCUUGCAUCUUUUUCACCUAUGUCUAUUUCGAAUUGGCCUUUGGUUUAAACAUGAAAGUUUUAGAUAAUUAUGUUAGCUUUCUAAUGGCUUUGGUUUGACGUCCAAAUGAUAUUAAGAACUUGAGUUAUGAUCAAAUUACUACACAUGGGUCAUGUGAAUUUUUGUGAAAACUUAUCAUAACUUUUUCUUUGAGCCGUGGAACUUUUCCAAACUUGAAUUUGGGUUUAAUGAGGUACUUAGAGUGAAUAAUUGAGUAUGCAUGUAUAUUUUUGAGGUAUCAUGACUAUCGUGAGAAACGUAUGCUAAUUGCUUGGAAUAUAAGAAUUCUUGAAUUGGUAAAAUCAAACGUGAUGAGUGAUGUUUGUUGAUUAUUGAAAAUCAUGUAAUUGAUGUUGGAUGACAUUGUUGAUUAUUGGUAAAUAUGUUGAUGUGUGAUGAUGAAUACUAUGAUUUAUUUGUGUGGGCAUGUUUUCUUGAUAAUGCAAUGUUGUGGAGAUAAUCAAUAUAAUUGGGUGUUGUCCUAUAUAUUGAGUUGAGAUUGUGAAUUGUUGUCGCAUUAUCGAGUCCUUAUACAUGUCCAUGCAUCAUAGUCGUUGUUUCUGUAAAAGAGUUGAACUCUUUUACUUCGAGAUUAUUGUAAGGCAGGUGUGAGCCCUUACAUUCGAUGUGCAAGUGGCAUCGAAAGGUGACGACCUUGUUGAGAUUUGGUACCACAUGCAUUUAUGUGUCCAUAAGUGCAUAUCAUAGCAUGAGUCCUAUGUGAAUUGUGUGAUUGGUGAUGAUUUGAGAUGAAUGAAUGUUGAUAAUGAUUGUCUAUGAUUGAUGUUGUGAAUGAAUAUUUAUGAUUGGAUAAUCAUUCAUGUGAUUGAUAUAUGUGGAUACGAGCUAUCAAGUUGUGGUAUAAGUAUUUAUGCAUGACUAAUAUUAUUCAAGUACAUGAUAUUAUUUGAUUUGAUUAUUAUCUGGAUUAUGAUAAUGUAAUGCUUACCCCCAGUGGUUUUAACCGCCUACUUGCCUGUAUGGGUGAGUAGACGUUGUGCAGGAGUAGUCUUGGUGAGUCUUUGCGUGGGAUAUCGGGAGCUUCCUCCGAUAUCGGUGUUGUGUCGGCUCUGAUCUAGGCUUGUCGUGUCGGUCUAGAUUAGGUUGUUAUAUUUUUCCUUUGAAUUAUUAUUUUGUUGAUGACUACCCGUAUGUUUGGGUUUUGAGAUUUAUCUUUGGGAUAUGAUUUAUUUGCUCAUGGCAUGUAUAUAUUUGAUCACUCUGAUUUGUAUUCCGCUGUAACUGUUGAGGUUUACAUACAUGUCUAUCGGUUUUUGAAUUUUGAAUAAGAC